rnacentral:rRNA from 1 species
AGUGAACGCUGGCGGUAGGCCUAACACAUGCAAGUCGAACGGCAGCACAGUAAGAGCUUGCUCUUACGGGUGGCGAGUGGCGGACGGGUGAGGAAUACAUCGGAAUCUACUUUUUCGUGGGGGAUAACGUAGGGAAACUUACGCUAAUACCGCAUACGACCUACGGGUGAAAGCAGGGGAUCUUCGGACCUUGCGCGAUUGAAUGAGCCGAUGUCGGAUUAGCUAGUUGGCGGGGUAAAGGCCCACCAAGGCGACGAUCCGUAGCUGGUCUGAGAGGAUGAUCAGCCACACUGGAACUGAGACACGGUCCAGGCUCCUACGGGAGGCAGCAGUGGGGAAUAUUGGACAAUGGGCGCAAGCCUGAUCCAGCCAUCCCGCGUGGGUGAAGAAGGCCUUCGGGUUGUAAAGCCCUUUUGUUGGGAAAGAAAAGCAGCAGGUUAAUACCCCGCUGUUCUGACGGUACCCAAAGAAUAAGCACCGGCUAACUUCGUG